rnacentral:rRNA from 1 species
UGGGGAAUAUUGCACAAUGGGGGAAACCCUGAUGCAGCGACGCCGCGUGAGCGAAGAAGGUUUUCGAAUCGUAAAGCUCUGUCCUAUGAGAAGAUAAUGACGGUAUCAUAGGAGGAAGCCCCGGUUAAAUACGUGCCAGCAGCCGCGGUAAUACGUAUGGGGCGAGCGUUGUCCGGAAUUAUUGGGCGUAAAGGGUACGUAGGCGGUCUAUUAAGUCAGGUGUGAAAGCGUGAGGCUUAACCUCAUUAAGCACUUGAAACUGUUAGACUUGAGUGAAGGAGAGGAAAGUGGAAUUCCUAGUGUAGCGGUGAAAUGCGUAGAUAUUAGGAGGAAUACCGGUGGCGAAGGCGACUUUCUGGACUUUUACUGACGCUCAGGUACGAAAGCGUGGGGAGCAAACAGG